UUGGCCCCUCCCUCCGGGUGUUCAGUUCAGUUCAAUUAGAGAGACCAACUGCCGUUCUCGCCUCACGAUGUUGUUUUAGUUUCUCUCAGACAGUGUGUUAUGGUGUUACAGUUUUAUUAUUAAAGAAAGCUUUGUUUGACAUAUACGUGAGCCGCUUAUGUUGCUGAAAGAAAAGAAACUCUGCUGAAGAAGGGUGGAAUAUCCUCAAGUUGGCAAAGAAAAAUUAAAUAAGAAGAGUGAAUAACUUGCCUGUCAAACUUUUAAGGUGUUGGCCUUGGGGUUAUUCCAGAAGGAGCCGGAGGCAAGCCUCCAGGAGAUGCUGCGAAAGUAGGGCAGCUGCAAAAAAUCAUGGACAAAUGAGGAACACAGGAAGUAACAGAAACAAAACCCAAGCCACACAACUUCUUAAGAUACUGAAUCUUUAUGAUGAUACAUUAUGCCAUUUACCACAUUUCUCUCAGCGCUGCUGUUGUGGAAAAGCAAGUAUUUUGCUUUAAUAUCCACCAGACAUCAAUUCUGAAGGUUGCGAAGUAAAACAAGGAUUGCUGGAAUUAAGUAGACCAUAGUUUUGUUUUAUGGGUGCCUGAAACUGGGGCUGGGGAGAGAGAGAGAAGAGGAGGAGAGCAUGUUCUAAAAACUAUUUUUGUCACUCUUUAAAGCUAGCAAGGCUCAGAACUUACAUGUGCAUAAGCUCAGUCAAGCGACAAAUAUGAAGCUAAUGUAGUCCAAAGGUCAACUUUCACUUUAUAUAUUAGAUUAUAGCAAGCCAUGUUGUUGCCAGAGUGUUUAAUCCUAAGUGUGGUGUACUGGAUUUUACUUUUAAAGACACAGAUACAGUGGUACCUCCGGUUGCGAACAGGAUCCAUUCCAGAAGUCCGGCCGCAUCCCAAGGAAUUCACAACCGGAGCACCGCUUCUGCACAUGCACGCACGGUGAAACACGGAAAAAUACUUCCGGGUUUGCCAUGUUCGUAUCCCGAAAGGUACGCAGCUAGAGGAGUGCGUAUCUAGAGGUACCACUAUAUAGAGUUUCAUGAAUUUAUAUGCUGCUUUUCUACUUUCCCAGUUUUCAAAGUGACUCACAACAUAAGAUAGUAAAAUGGAACAAUAAAACGUUUAUAAGAAGGUUGUAAAAAUAAUUUAUUCCUGAAACAGAAAACUGAGGUAG